rnacentral:rRNA from 1 species
UUCGGCAGAGAACUUGUAUAGUCUAGUGGCGAACGGUCGCGUAACACGUAAGCAACCUGCCCUGAAGUGUGGGAUAGCCCGCCGAAAGGCGGAUUAAUACCGCAUGUGGAUAAUCACCCGCAUGAGAGAUUAUCUAAAGUAGCAAUGCGCUUCAGGAUGGGCUUGCGGCCUAUCAGCUAGUUGGUGGGGUAACGGCCUACCAAGGCGACGACGGGUAGCUGGUCUGAGAGGACGAUCAGCCGGAUUGGGACUGAGAUACGGCCCAGACUCCUACGGGGGGCAGCAAUUAGGAAUCUUGCGCAAUGGGGGAAACCCAGACGCAGCGACGCCGCGUGAAUGAUGAAGUCUUUCGGGAUGUAAAGUUCUGUCCUACAGGGAGGAAGAAUGUGACGGUACCUGUAGAGAAAGCCCCGGCUAACUACGUGCCAGCAGCCGCGGUAAUACGUAGGGGGCGAGCGUUGUCCGAAUUUAUUGGGUUUAAAGGGUGCGUAGGCGGAUUGAUAAGUCAGUGGUGAAAGCCUGCAGCUUAACUGCAGAACUGCCAUUGAUA